UAGGAAUCUUGUGUCUCAUGGGUCUGUGG
rnacentral:piRNA from 1 species